rnacentral:rRNA from 1 species
UACGUAGGGUGCGAGCGUUGUCCGGAAUUACUGGGCGUAAAGAGCUCGUAGGUGGUUUGUCGCGUUGUUCGUGAAAAUUCACAGCUUAACUGUGGGCGUGCGGGCGAUACGGGCAGACUGGAGUACUGCAGGGGAGACUGGAAUUCCUGGUGUAGCGGUGGAAUGCGCAGAUAUCAGGAGGAACACCGGUGGCGAAGGCGGGUCUCUGGGCAGUAACUGACGCUGAGGAGCGAAAGCGUGGGGAGCGAACAGG